CGAACGCUGGCGGCAGGCUUAACACAUGCAAGUUGAACGGGAUUUGUGUGGUGCUUGCACCAUAUAAUGAGAGUAGCGCACUGGUGAGUAACACGUGGGAACGUGCCUUUUAGUGGGGGAUAACAUCUGGAAACGGAUGCUAAUACCGCAUACGCCCUGAGGGGGAUCGCAAGACCUCGCGCAAUUGGAGCGGCCGAUGCCCGAUUAGCUAGUUGGUGAGGUAAAGGUUCACCAAGGCGACGAUCGGUAGCUGGUCUGAGAGGACGACCAGCCACACUGGGACUGAGACACGGCCCAGACUCCUACGGGAGGCAGCAGUGGGGAAUUUUGGACAAUGGGGGCAACCCUGAUCCAGCCAUGCCGCGUGCAGGAUGAAGGCCUUCGGGUUGUAAACUGCUUUUGUCAGGGACGAAAAGGACCGUGUUAAUACCAUGGUCUGCUGACGGUACCUGAAGAAUAAGCACCGGCUAACUACGUG
rnacentral:rRNA from 1 species